rnacentral:rRNA from 1 species
GACGAACGCUGGCGGCGUGCUUAACACAUGCAAGUCGAACGGAAAGGCCCUGCUUUUGUGGGGUGCUCGAGUGGCGAACGGGUGAGUAACACGUGAGUAACCUGCCCUUGACUUUGGGAUAACUUCAGGAAACUGGGGCUAAUACCGGAUAGGAGCUCCUGCUGCAUGGUGGGGGUUGGAAAGUUUCGGCGGUUGGGGAUGGACUCGCGGCUUAUCAGCUUGUUGGUGGGGUAGUGGCUUACCAAGGCUUUGACGGGUAGCCGGCCUGAGAGGGUGACCGGCCACAUUGGGACUGAGAUACGGCCCAGACUCCUACGGGAGGCAGCAGUGGGGAAUAUUGCACAAUGGGCGGAAGCCUUAUGCAGCAACGCCGCGUGCGGGAUGACGGCCUUCGGGUUGUAAACCGCUUUCACCUGUGACGAAGCGUGAGUGACGGUAAUGGGUAAAGAAGCACCGGCUAACUACGUG